GCCAGCGUAGCUCAGUGGUAGAGCAAUGGUAUCGUAAACCAUAGGUCGUGAGUUCAAAUCUCACCGCUGGCU
rnacentral:tRNA from 1 species